rnacentral:rRNA from 1 species
AAGACCUUGCGCUUUUGGAGCGGCCGAUGCCUGAUUAGCUUGUUGGUAAGGUAAAAGCUUACCAAGGCUUCGAUCAGUAGCUGGUCUGAGAGGACGACCAGCCACACUGGGACUGAGACACGGCCCAGACUCCUACGGGAGGCAGCAGUGGGGAAUUUUGGACAAUGGGGGCAACCCUGAUCCAGCCAUGCCGCGUGAGUGAAGAAGGCCUUUGGGUUGUAAAGCUCUUUCAGCCGGAACGAAACGGUUACGGUUAACACCCGUGACUACUGACGGUACCGGAAGAAGAAGCACCGGCUAACUACGUGCCAGCAGCCGCGGUAAUACGUAGGGUGCGAGCGUUAAUCGGAAUUACUGGGCGUAAAGCGUGCGCAGGUGGUUUUGUAAGUCAGAUGUGAAAGCCCCGGGCUCAACCUGGGAACU